rnacentral:rRNA from 1 species
UCGAGCGGAUGACGGGAGCUUGCUCCUUGAUUCAGCGGCGGACGGGUGAGUAAUGCCUAGGAAUCUGCCUGGUAGUGGGGGACAACGUUUCGAAAGGAACGCUAAUACCGCAUACGUCCUACGGGAGAAAGCAGGGGACCUUCGGGCCUUGCGCUAUCAGAUGAGCCUAGGUCGGAUUAGCUAGUUGGUGGGGUAAUGGCUCACCAAGGCGACGAUCCGUAACUGGUCUGAGAGGAUGAUCAGUCACACUGGAACUGAGACAUGGUCCAGACUCCUACGGGAGGCAGCAGUGGGGAAUAUUGGACAAUGGGCGAAAGCUUGAUCCAGCCAUGCCGCGUGUGUGAAGAAGGUCUUCGGAUUGUAAAGCACUUUAACUGGGGAGGGAAGGGGAGUUAGCUAUUACCUGGCUGUUUUGACGUUACCGACAGAAUAAGCACCGGUUACUUUGUGCC